UACGGGGGGAGCAAGCGUUGUUCGGAUUUACUGGGCGUAAAGGGCGCGUAGGCGGUCAGCACAAGUCAGUUGUGAAAUCUCCGGGCUUAACUCGGAAAGGUCAACUGAUACUGUGCGACUAGAGUGCGGAAGGGGCAACUGGAAUUCUCGGUGUAGCGGUGAAAUGCGUAGAUAUCGAGAGGAACACCUGCGGCGAAGGCGGGUUGCUGGGCCGACACUGACGCUGAUGCGCGAAAGCGAGGGGAGCGAACGGG
rnacentral:rRNA from 1 species